GAUGAACGCUGGCGGCGUGCCUAAUACAUGCAAGUCGAGCGAACGGACGAGAAGCUUGCUUGUCUGAUGUUAGCGGCGGACGGGUGAGUAACACGUGGAUAACCUACCUAUAAGACUGGGAUAACUUCGGGAAACCGGAGCUAAUACCGGAUAAUAUUUUGAACCGCAUGGUUCAAAAGUAAAAGACGGUCUUGCUGUCACUUAUAGAUGGAUCCGCGCUGCAUUAGCUAGUUGGUAAGGUAACGGCUUACCAAGGCAACGAUGCAUAGCCGACCUGAGAGGGUGAUCGGCCACACUGGAACUGAGACACGGUCCAGACUCCUACGGGAGGCAGCAGUAGGGAAUCUUCCGCAAUGGGCGAAAGCCUGACGGAGCAACGCCGCGUGAGUGAUGAAGGUCUUCGGAUCGUAAAACUCUGUUAUUAGGGAAGAACAUAUGUGUAAGUAACUGUGCACAUCUUGACGGUACCUAAUCAGAAAGCCACGGCUAACUACGUG
rnacentral:rRNA from 1 species